rnacentral:rRNA from 1 species
AUAUCAAUAAGCGGAGGAAAAGAAACUAACAAGGAUUCCCCUAGUAACGGCGAGUGAAGCGGGAAGAGCUCAAAUUUGAAAUCUGGCACUUUCAGUGUCCGAGUUGUAAUCUCGAGAAGUGUUUUCCGCGCCAGACCGCAUACAAGUCUGUUGGAAUACAGCGUCAUAGUGGUGAGAACCCCGUACGUGAUGCGGAUGCCUGGUGCUUUGUGAUACACUUUCGAAGAGUCGAGUUGUUUGGGAAUGCAGCUCAAAUUGGGUGGUAAAUUCCAUCUAAAGCUAAAUAUUGGCGAGAGACCGAUAGCGAACAAGUACCGUGAGGGAAAGAUGAAAAGCACUUUGGAAAGAGAGUUAACAGUACGUGAAAUUGUUGGAAGGGAAACGCUUGAAGUCAGACUUGCUAUGUGGAGUUCUCUUCGCUUCGCAGGCCAGCAUCAGUUUUCGGGGGUGGAAAAGGGUAGAGAGAAGGUAGCUGUCUCGGCAGUGUUAUAGCUCUUUACUGGAUUCAUCUUUGGGGACUGAGGAACGCAGUACGGUUUUCCGUACUUAGGAUGCUGGUGGAAUGGCUUUAAACGA